AUGUCAUGUAUUUCUGUCUGUACAUCUACACAUCAGGAGUUGUCCCUCUUAAGUAGGCUGGAGUUAUGUAAGUGUUUAUGUACACAAGGUUAUAGACACAGUAGGUCAUGGGAGUUCGAGUUAAACAUUUAUUUUGUGCUAUGGUCAGUUGAAGAGGGUUGGGCCAUGGCAAUGAGGCUGCGUGUCACCCGGAGCAGUACUCUGCCCCUGAACUGCCCUCGCUGCUGCUUUGGUAAAGGCUUGCAACGAAAGAGUAACAGCCACUGGCGAAUCCAGUUUGUGCAAGCAGCAUCAGCAAUGGAUGAGACCUCCCCUAGACUGGAAGAAGACUGGAAAAAAGGACUUCAGCGAGAAGCGAGCUGGCAGGUAAGUGAUGUCCUCAGCUCCAGACAGCCACAGAUCACUCUCUCAUCUCUUUCAGCCCAAGUCUGGGUAAUUCACAUCAGUCUGUUGGCACAAAUGUGUUGUCUCUAGGCAUAUCUUUUUGGGAAAAUCAUCAUUAGUUUCCAUUUCUUUGUAAACCAUGCAAAUAAUAUUCCAAAUGAAUUUCCUCUAGAUUCUUGAGCAAGCUAAUAGAGUUUUACAAAUCUAUAGAUGUUGCUAAAUUUAUACUUUCUUAAUAAAGGCCCUUGAAUUAACAAGUUGCAGGUGUAUAUCAAAGGAAGCAUGAAGAUUUGGUUUGUGUGAGUACAAGUUCAUUGCAAUAUAAAAAUUUAAUACAACACCUGUCACCACACUUACUUUAUAGUGUUAUAGUAGCUUGGAAUAAGGGGCUUGGUUUUAACCUAUUUUAAUGAGGUGGCCAUUCUUUUAAUGUGGCUUGUGUGCCUUUCUUAUUUAUGCUGAACUCAUAAUAGGUAGAAGCUCUGUGGUAUGCAGAAAGUUCAAGCUAAAGGAUUCAUUUUGGUGUAGAGGCAGUUUUCAUUAAAAUAUGCAAAGCAGUAAUGUUUAUACGUUACAAUACCUAUUUCAAAUUAGCAAAAUUAUAUGCUCCUGUCUCGUAAGCUGCCAACUGAAAUCCUUUCCUAAAUCCUGUUGAAUGGCUUUGAUUACUCUUCUUCACAUUACACAUUACACACCUCUAAUGCAUAUUUUUACGCAUCCACUCCAUUGCCAUUUAAUUAGACAACAAUAUUGAAGAGCGAUGCCAGAGCUUUUUUUCUAAUGCUGCUGCCUUAUGGAAAAAGAACACUUUCGUGCAUGAAGCAUUUCUUAUGGGUGGUGUUGAAUAAAGUGCAACUGUGAUUUUCCAUUUUGUCUGUAGCAGACAGUUUCUUACAAAAGUGGUGAUUCAGGACGAGUUGAUUCUCAACAUCAAUUUUUAAAAAUAAUUCUCCCUUUUUAUAAAAAGAGAAAAUUUUCAUAAGAGUCUCCUUUGCAACAGAAAUUUCUGUGAAAUGUAGUACUGAUAUUGACAGGUAUGUUCUGUUCUAAGCUAUGUGAUGUUCAGGAAGGAGUUUCAGAAAAAACCUCCUCCAGACUGUCAUGAAAUUGGAGUCCUUCCACUUUGAGUGGGUGCGUUAUUUAGGAAGCAGGAAGGCAUACAAAUAAAUCUUGGUGUGCUACUUUGAGAAUGUCACAUGGUUGGUCCGUAGGGGGUCUAAAGAGAUGUUCAGAUAUUUUAUGGUGUGUUGAUGUGACUUUUGGAUUUUUGUCUUUUGUUUAUGUGUUUUCCUUUAAAGAGCUGGCAUCUUAUAGUUUCCAAAGGGGGAUGAAGGGAGGAAGCAUGUGAGGAGAUGACUCAGAGAUCUCUGUGGACAAAAUAUUUAAACUAGGAACAUGAAAUCCAAAUGUUUAUGUAAGAAAGCAUGUGUCCUAUCAGUGGUCCUAUCCCAUGGACCUUUAGCUUAGUCAAAGGCAGAUGAUGAAAAUGUUCUCUAUGCUUAUUACCUACAAAGAUGUGAUCCUGUACGAGCUGACCAUUGUCAUUUCCACUAUGGUAACCGAAGCUCUCCCUAUAGAUAUUGGAGGUCAUGCUCAUGGGAAGGGCAUCCCAGGCUUCCUUUGGCCUCUCUGUCUCUUGACCAUGCAUGGCAUUGUAUAUUGUGGUGCAUCAGCCCCUGCUUCACUGCUUCUGGGGCUCUACCCGCAGUGAGGUCUGCCUGCUGCCCACAUUGUCCAGCCAUCUGUAUUGCCAUGCUGGGUCCCUAAGCAUGGAGUCACCCCACUUCAGCUAACACUCAAGCUGUCCCUAAAGGAGGAACUGGAAUCAGACGGCAUUAGAUGUAAGACUUUCAUCCUGAGAGUGACUUCUUUUGGCCAUUCAUGGUAGUGAUGGAGUUGAAGACAUUUCACAAAUUGUGAUUGAUCCUGAAGCUUCAGUUUAGCUUUAAUUCGGCAUUUCUUAUUAAAACUGAUUCAGUACUUUUAAACCUAACUGUUAUUUACCAAUCACAGUGCCAGGUAUGUGUGUGUGUACUCUUUCCUAAGGAACCUAGCCAGUAGAUAUUAUUACUCUCCUUUUACAGANNNNNNNNNNNNNNNNNNNNNNNNNNNNNNNNNNNNNNNNNNNNNNNNNNNNNNNNNNNNNNNNNNNNNNNNNNNNNNNNNNNNNNNNNNNNNNNNNNNCAGUAGAUAUUAUUACUCUCCUUUUACAGACGAAGAAAUUAAAACUUAAGGAGGUUACAUGACCUGUCCAAAGCCAUCUAGUAUUCAAGUCCAGUCCUGUUUGACUCCAGUGCCUGUGCUCUUUUCACUGUGCUGUGCCAUCUGAAUUGAAUUUUAUCUCAUUUUUUAUCUCAUGGAAUAAUAGCUUAUGAGCAGCUGUGACGUGGGCAGGCAGGAAGAAAGAGGAAGGAAGGGAAAAAGCAUGACGAUCUUCUAAUGGAAUAAUCAGUCUCUGAAUCAUUAAGACUUUAAUAAAAUGUUUUCAAUAGUUUAUUUUUUUAACCCUUACUCUCUACCAGGCCCUAAGCUACGUUUCUAAUUUUGACAAGUAUGUUAACAGACAGAUAUUACUUAUUCCUAUUACACAGAUGGGGAAAAUGAGGCUCAGCAGUUAGGGAACAUGCUCAGGGUUGCAGAGCUACUUGACAUAGUGAAAAGGGAUGUGGUCCAAGUUGGACUGGCCCCAAAGCCUGGAUUCUUGUUAAGGCUGCCUCUCAGAAUGUAUUUCCAAAUUAUAUUUUGAUCNNNNAUAUUUUACUAUUUCAUCUCACAGUGAUGUGAUGGGAUUUGGUCCUUAAGAAGUCCCCUGAUGGCUUCUUUUUUUUUUUUUCUAAAUAAAUUAAGAGUUGGGCAAAAAUGCCUUGCUCACGCAGUUAUUUAGAAUGUAUUUUAAUUGGAUGCUUUUUGCCUUAAAUAAACCAGCAUACCCACAAACUUGAAAAUGAACUAGAUGCAAUUGCUCAAAUCAACUGUAAAUCUAAAAAUACGUUUAAGCCUAUAACCUGUACUGUAAUACCAAGAGCAGCUGUGCCAGAGUUACGACUCCUGACACUUAGAGCCCACUUCAACUCUGGGAGAAGUUGUGAAACGAGGUGGUAGGGGCUUCGUUCAUCAGGUCACCAGCGGAUGAUUGGCAGACUGGCUUAAGCAUCUUUGCUUCUUCAGUUGUGAACCAAGGCAUUACAACUGAGUGGGGCACUGUAGAGAGGAUGCGAGGAGGCGCAGAUGCUUCUUUGUUGAAUAAUAGUCAGUUGAGAGAGUCUAUGGAGGGACAAAUGGCUCAUUUCUCAUGAUGAUGUUUUCUCUUGGGGUGGUCCCCUUUAAAACAACCAAUGUAAUAGUGGUCUGGUAGUUGUGAACUCCUCUCACAGUGUUGUCCACGAAGGUCUCCUCAACAGGAAGACAACUUCCUCGAGGACAGAGAUGCAUGUUGUUUGUCUCUGUGCCUCUGCCUUCAGCAUUGAACCUGAACCUGGCACACCCUCAACCCUGAUGAUGUUCACCUCCCACCCCCUUCUCACUCGCUCUGGGCCCCCCGGCUUGGCACAGUAGCAUGGCACCCGCACAGCUAAGCGGGUGAGAAGGGGAAGAUGUGAGAGAGCCUGCAUUAGGGCGUGAACCCUCCCAGGCUCCGCUCUGCUAAUUACUGCUGGUUAGUGAGAAGCAAAGAUGGUGAUCUCCUUGUUUAGCUUUCUUCCUUUUUCCUGGAUGACUUUUCUAUAAACUUCGAAUGCCUCACCUUUCCCCUAUGGAGAACUGGAAUAGAAUAUAUUAUCUGUGUCUGUUUAGAUACCUGUAUUUAUCAUGGUACCUCUAUCUGACAGGAGCAAUGGCAUAAAGAUUAAGAACAUGGGAUCUAGACCCAGACUUCUGGAUUCUAACCUUGGUGUCAUCAAUUUCUAACUGUGCCACACUGGUAGUAUUUCUAACCUCUCUAUGCGUUAGUUCCCUCACCUAU
ensembl:lncRNA